rnacentral:tRNA from 2 species
GGGGCGGUAGCUCAGUUGGGAGAGCGUCACGUUCGCAACGUGAAGGUCGGCGGUUCGAUCCCGCUCCGCUCCACCA